CAGAAACUGAACUUAAGCAAGCUCUGUGGCUAACUUCUGUGUACGAGAAAUAUGAGGAAUAGAAGAACAAAUUAGGUGGCAGCCCCAGAAAAAAAACAAAUUCAAAACAUGGCAUGUUCUGUACGACAACUGACCCAGUUUCUGAAACAACCAAUGGAAUUGUUCUCCCAGCUACUCAGGAGGCUGAGGCAGGAGAAUGGCGUGAACCCGGAAGGCAGAGCUUGCAGUAAGCCGAGAUCGAACCACUGCACUCCAGCCUGGGCGACAGAGCGAGACUCUGUAUCAAAAAAAAAAAAUAGAAUGAGUAGAUUUUUCACUGCUUUGGUUCAUGGAAGG
rnacentral:lncRNA from 1 species